rnacentral:rRNA from 1 species
UACGUAGGGGGCAAGCGUUGUUCGGAAUUACUGGGCGUAAAGGGCGCGUAGGCGGCCUGCUAAGUCGGACGUGAAAUCCCUCGGCUCAACCGGGGAACUGCGUCCGAUACUGGUUGGCUUGAAUUCGGGAGAGGGAUGCGGAAUUCCAGGUGUAGCGGUGAAAUGCGUAGAUAUCUGGAGGAACACCGGUGGCGAAGGCGGCAUCCUGGACCGACACUGACGCUGAGGCGCGAAAGCGUGGGGGAGCAAACAGG